UUGUUGGAACUUGGUGUGGGGCCUGAUGGAACUAGCAGAGGCUCCUCUCAAAAGGGGCCAUUAAACCCUGAUUGAACUAUCAAUGAUACCUGGGAUUAGUUCACUGGGCACUACAGGAACAGCAAGUUGCACGUCAUUGUGGACAGGGCCGGAAAUAGAUAAGUACAUUUUCAGAUUAUUUUUUAGAAAUUUUUGUAUCAGUGCUUCCCGUAUGUAUCAUGUCGUACGUAUCAUGUAUCACGUCAUAGCUCAAAUGUCCAGUCAACUCCACCUAAUCUGAUCAAUAUGUCUUGAUCCAUGUGUUCAAUCGUCUUGAUUGCACCCAUUUUGCCAGACAUUAUCAGGACCAUGAUCACAUAUAUCUCCCUUCUCGACCCAUGGUAUCACAUAUUUAUAUAAAACGAGACUUUCUGACUCCAGCGGCCCAUGAUCAAACGGACUUGAUCAUAAUUCCUUACUCUCGUAUAAUAAGUAACUUCCGAAAGAACUAUCGUCGAAUGACGUGACAUCAUUAUUCAACCGAACAUGUCAAAAAGGAAAUUGAAAUUCGCAAAGCGUAAUAACAAUGUAUUAAAAAUAAAAGGAGUUGAAAAAUUCAUAAAUGUGAAAUGACGAUAGAAUCGUUCCAAAUUGAAUGCUUCAAAAAUUGAUAACUCAAAUUCGUUACAAUGUAUUAAAUGCAGCGAAAUUUAUUUAAAAAGCCAUUUAGAAGUAGCAAAAAAAAAAAAAAAAAAAAAAAAAAAAAAAAAAAAAAAAAAAAAAAAAAAAAAAAAAAAANAAAAAAAAAAAAAAAAAACAUCGAAACAAUCUUUUGUAUUGCAAACGAAAGUUAACUAUUCAUUAUGGGUAAACAUUCAUUGUUUUAAUAUUUAUUAGUAGUGAUAUAUUAGGGGAUAACUUUUCAUAUAUCGAUCAAAUUCGGUUAAAUAAUAUCAGGGUAAAGAUUUAAAAUACGGGACAAUCUGAGGGUACCUUUUGAUAGAUUACAAUUUAAUACAGCUUACAAUUUAAUAUGAAAAAGUUAUCCCCAAAAUAUGAUUUAUAUUUGUCUUUAUACACUACCUUUCAGGAUUUUCAAUACAUCUCCAUUCAUUAACAAGCAAAAUUAGGUACCUUUAAUACCCUAUUAGUAGCUGACUUAUUAAGACAAAGCCCUUUCUCCGUAAAAUCAGCUUGCCACUUAUUUCUGGACUUUUACAGUGCAUAAAAUAAAAGACAUCACCCGGAAUAACUUUCGUUUUAAUGAUCAGAAUUUCUCGAAUUAGCUGUCAAUCAUAUUGACUUAAAGGAACUACUUCAAAUAUCUAAUUAAGUUACAGAAUCAGACAAAAAAACGCUCUUGCUUUCUCAGAAUAAACAUAUGUAACUGAGAAACAUUGUUUAUAAAACGAAUUUAACUUAUUAAAAUAGGAAUGAUUAGAAUUUGAAAUUACUUAUGUA